rnacentral:rRNA from 1 species
AGAGUUUGAUCCUGGCUCAGGACGAACGCUGGCGGCGUGCCUAAUACAUGCAAGUCGAGCGAGGUCUUCGGACCUAGCGGCGGACGGGUGAGUAACACGUAGGUAACCUGCCUGUAAGACUGGGAUAACACACGGAAACGUGUGCUAAUACCAGAUAGGAUCUAAAGUCGCAUGGCAUUAGAUGGAAAGAGGGUUUACGCUCUCACUUACAGAUGGACCUGCGGCGCAUUAGCUAGUUGGUGAGGUAACGGCUCACCAAGGCGACGAUGCGUAGCCGACCUGAGAGGGUGAUCGGCCACACUGGGACUGAGACACGGCCCAGACUCCUACGGGAGGCAGCAGUAGGGAAUCUUCCGCAAUGGACGAAAGUCUGACGGAGCAACGCCGCGUGAGUGAUGAAGGUCUUCGGAUUGUAAAACUCUGUUGCCAGGGAAGAACAGUUGGGUGUUAACUGCACCCAAUGUGACGGUACCUGAGAAGAAAGCCCCGGCUAACUACGUGCCAGCAGCCGCGGUAAUACGUAGGGGGCAAGCGUUGUCCGGAUUUAUUGGGCGUAAAGCGCGCGCAGGCGGUAUUUUAAGUCUGGUGUUAAAGCCCGGGGCUCAACCCCCGGUUCGCAUCGGAAACUGGAGUACUUGAGUGCAGAAGAGGAGAGUGGAAUUCCACGUGUAGCGGUGAAAUGCGUAGAGAUGUGGAGGAACACCAGUGGCGAAGGCGACUCUCUGGUCUGUAACUGACGCUGAGGCGCGAAAGCGUGGGGAGCAAACAGGAUUAGAUACCCUGGUAGUCCACGCCGUAAACGAUGAAUGCUAGGUGUUAGGGGUUUCGAUGCCCUUGGUGCCGAAGUUAACACAUUAAAGCAUUCCCGCCUGGGGGAGUACGCUCCGCAAGAGUGGAAACCUCAAAGGAAUUGACGGGGACCCGCACAAGCAGUGGAGUAUGUGGUUUAAUUCGAAGCAACGCGAAGAACCUUACCAGGUCUUGACAUCCCUUUGAAUACCCUAGAGAUAGGGUAGACCCUUCGGGGACAAAGGUGACAGGUGGCGCAUGGUUGUCGUCAGCUCGUGUCGUGAGAUGUUGGGUUAAGUCCCGCAACGAGCGCAACCCUUGAUCUUAGUUGCCAGCAUUCAGUUGGGCACUCUAAGGUGACUGCCGGUGACAAACCGGAGGAAGGUGGGGAUGACGUCAAAUCAUCAUGCCCCUUAUGACCUGGGCUACACACGUACUACAAUGGUCGGUACAAAGGGCUGCGAAACCGCGAGGUGGAGCCAAUCCUCUAAAACCGAUCUCAGUUCGGAUUGCAGGCUGCAACUCGCCUGCAUGAAGCCGGAAUUGCUAGUAAUCGCGGAUCAGCAUGCCACGGUGAAUACGUUCCCGGGUCUUGUACACACCGCCCGUCACACCACGAGAGUUUACAACACCCGAAGUCGGUGGGGUAACCGCAAGGAGCCAGCCGCCUAAGGUGGGGUAGAUGAUUGGGGUGAAGUCGUAACAAGGUAGCCGU